rnacentral:rRNA from 1 species
UACAGAGGUGACAAACGUUUGUCCGGAAUUAUUGGGCGUAAAGGGCGCGUAGGUGGCCAACUAAGUCAGACGUGAAAUCCCCAGGCUCAACCUGGGAACUGCGUCCGAUACUGGAUGGCUUGAAUCCGGGAGAGGGAUGCAGAAUUCCAGGUGUAGCGGUGAAAUGCGUAGAUAUCAGGAGGAACACCAAUUGCGAAGGCAGCUCGCUGGGACGUUACUGACGCUGAGACGCGAAAGCGUGGGGAGCAAACAGG